UAGGGAAUCUUCCACAAUGGACGCAAGUCUGAUGGAGCAACGCCGCGUGAGUGAAGAAGGUCUUCGGAUCGUAAAGCUCUGUUGUUGGUGAAGAAGGAUAGAGGCAGUAACUGGUCUUUAUUUGACGGUAAUCAACCAGAAAGUCACGGCUAACUACGUGCCAGCAGCCGCGGUAAUACGUAGGUGGCAAGCGUUGUCCGGAUUUAUUGGGCGUAAAGCGAGCGCAGGCGGAAUGAUAAGUCUGAUGUGAAAGCCCACGGCUCAACCGUGGAACUGCAUCGGAAACUGUCAUCCUUGAGUGCAGAAGAGGAGAGUGGAACUCCAUGUGUAGCGGUGGAAUGCGUAGAUAUAUGGAAGAACACCAGUGGCGAAGGCGGCUCUCUGGUCUGCAACUGACGCUGAGGCUCGAAAGCAUGGGUAGCGAACAGGAUUAGAUACCCUGGUAGUCCAUGCCGUAAACGAUGAGCGCUAGGUGUUGGGGGCUUUCCGGUCCUCAGUGCCGGCAGCAAACGCAUUAAGCGCUCCGCCUGGGGAGUACGACCGCAAGGUUGAA
rnacentral:rRNA from 1 species